UACAGGGGGGGCAAGCGUUGUUCGGAAUUACUGGGCGUAAAGGGCCAGUAGGCGGCCAACUAAGUCCGACGUGAAAUCCCUAGGCUUAACCUAGGAACUGCGUCGGAUACUGGAUGGCUUGAAUUCGGGAGAGGGAUGCAGAAUUCCAGGUGUAGCGGUGAAAUGCGUAGAUAUCUGGAGGAACACCGGUGGCGAAGGCGGCAUCCUGGACCGGCAUUGACGCUGAGGCGCGAAAGCCAGGGGAGCAAACGGG
rnacentral:rRNA from 1 species